UACGUAGGGUGCAAGCGUUGUCCGGAAUUAUUGGGCGUAAAGAGCUCGUAGGCGGUCUGUCGCGUCGGAUGUGAAAACCCGGGGCUUAACCCCGGGCCUGCAUUCGAUACGGGCAGACUCGAGUGUGGUAGGGGAGACUGGAACUCCUGGUGUAGCGGUGAAAUGCGCAGAUAUCAGGAGGAACACCGGUGGCGAAGGCGGAUCUCUGGGCCAUUACUGACGCUGAGGAGCGAAAGCGUGGGGAGCGAACAGG
rnacentral:rRNA from 1 species